rnacentral:lncRNA from 1 species
UAUGACAGUACUGAACUCGACCGGACCGAGACGGAACUGCCGUCUUCAGUCCUGAAUAAGGAUCGAAACAACGCUAAAGGCAAGAAACAUCCCUAGUUAUGACUCAAAACAUUUUAAUUUCUUCUUAUACUGGAGAUCAACUCGUUUUAAUCUAUUAAGGACAGAAUAUGGAUCUGUUAAUAAAUCAUACACGCUGUAGCAUAUUAUUGAACAUUGGCUAUUCCACGUUAUGGUCUGUGGAAGAUGAAACCUUUACUUGCGGGUGGAACAGGAAAUGUUGAAAGAUGAACUCACAGAUCCAUUUAUUCACUAUUCUCCAACAGAUUUCCGUUGAAUAAUGAACUGAAGACAUGGAUUACUGGACAUGCUAUUGGCUAUUCUACUAAUGAACUAUAAUCAACAAUUCACUCAUGUUUAUACGGCUAAUAUUUAAUCAUGGAAAAUUAUGUCAGUCGGAGAAGCAAUUUUAUUUAAUUAAAAUCAGAAAUAAACUCACUCAGGAAAAAUCAAUCUGAAAGGAUGAUGCCUUUACUGGAGUCAAAUACAAAAUAAUUUCAAAUUCAAGAUAAAAUAUCGGUCCUAUCAUUUUAUUUAUUAUAUAUAAAUAUAUUGCCUUUAGAAAUAUUAUGGACUGGAGAAUGAAGUUCAUUUUAGACCAUUCUAUGGUCAACAAGUUUGUGUUGAAAAUAAAUUAUCGUUAAUUGUAUCCCCUCACAAAUAUUCAUUAUCAUGGAUUCGAAUGUACUUAAUCAUUUUUUUAAAUUACAG